AUGAACCGGCGAGUUACGAUUUGAUGCAAGGUUAAGCAGUAAAUGUGGAGCCGUAGCGAAAGCGAGUCUGAAUAGGGCGUUUAGUAUUUGGUCGUAGACCCGAAACCAGGUGAUCUACCCUUGGUCAGGUUGAAGUUCAGGUAACACUGAAUGGAGGACCGAACCGACUUACGUUGAAAAGUGAGCGGAUGAACUGAGGGUAGCGGAGAAAUUCCAAUCGAACCUGGAGAUAGCUGGUUCUCUCCGAAAUAGCUUUAGGGCUAGCCUCAAGUGAUGAUUAUUGGAGGUAGAGCACUGUUUGGACGAGGGGCCCCUCUCGGGUUACCGAAUUCAGACAAACUCCGAAUGCCAAUUAAUUUAACUUGGGAGUCAGAACAUGGGUGAUAAGGUCCGUGUUCGAAAGGGAAACAGCCCAGACCACCAGCUAAGGUCCCAAAAUAUAUGUUAAGUGGAAAAGGAUGUGGCGUUGCCCAGACAACUAGGAUGUUGGCUUAGAAGCAGCCAUCAUUUAAAGAGUGCGUAAUAGCUCACUAGUCGAGUGACACUGCGCCGA
rnacentral:rRNA from 1 species